GAUGAACGCUGGCGGCGUGCCUAAUACAUGCAAGUCGAGCGAAUGGAUUAAGAGCUUGCUCUUAUGAAGUUAGCGGCGGACGGGUGAGUAACACGUGGGUAACCUGCCCAUAAGACUGGGAUAACUCCGGGAAACCGGGGCUAAUACCGGAUAACAUUUUGAACCGCAUGGUUCGAAAUUGAAAGGCGGCUUCGGCUGUCACUUAUGGAUGGACCCGCGUCGCAUUAGCUAGUUGGUGAGGUAACGGCUCACCAAGGCAACGCUGCGUAGCCGAACUGAGAGGGGGGUCGGCCAGACUGAGACUGAGACACGGCCCAGACUCCUACGGGAGGCAGCAGUAGGGAAUCUUCCGCAAUGGACGAAAGUCUGACGGAGAAACGCCGCGUGAGUGAUGAAGGCUUUCGGGUCGUAAAACUCUGUUGUUAGGGAAGAACAAGUGCUAGUUGAAUAAGCUGGCACCUUGACGGUACCUAACCAGAAAGCCACGGCUAACUACGUGCCAGCCGCCGCGGUAA
rnacentral:rRNA from 1 species